rnacentral:rRNA from 1 species
AUUGAACGCUGGCGGCAUGCUUUACACAUGCAAGUCGAACGGUAACAGGCCGCAAGGUGCUGACGAGUGGCGCACGGGUGAGUAAUGCAUCGGAACGUGCCCAGUCGUGGGGGAUAACUACUCGAAAGAGUAGCUAAUACCGCAUACGAUCUAUGGAUGAAAGCGGGGGACCGUAAGGCCUCGCGCGAUUGGAGCGGCCGAUGUCAGAUUAGGUAGUUGGUGGGGUAAAGGCUCACCAAGCCAACGAUCUGUAGCUGGUCUGAGAGGACGACCAGCCACACUGGGACUGAGACACGGCCCAGACUCCUGCGGGAGGCAGCAGUGGGGAAUUUUGGACAAUGGGCGCAAGCCUGAUCCAGCAAUGCCGCGUGCAGGAAGAAGGCCUUCGGGUUGUAAACUGCUUUUGUACGGAACGAAACGGCUCUGGUUAAUACCCGGGGCUAAUGACGGUACCGUAAGAAUAAGCACCGGCUAACUACGUG